rnacentral:rRNA from 1 species
CGCCUUGCCAGCCCGCUCAGAAACUCAAAGGAAUUGACGGGGGCCCGCACAAGCGGUGGAGCAUGUGGUUUAAUUCGAUGAUACGCGAGGAACCUUACCUGGGCUCAAAUGUAUGUUGACGUAUUCUGAAAGGGAUACUUCUUCGGACAAUAUACAAGGUGCUGCAUGGUUGUCGUCAGCUCGUGCCGUGAGGUGUCGGGUUAAGUCCCAUAACGAGCGCAACCCCUAUCAUUAGUUGCCAUCAGGUCAAGCUGGGGACUCUAAUGAAACUGCCUACGCAAGUAGUGAGGAAGGUGGGGAUGACGUCAAAUCAGCACGGCCCUUACGUCCAGGGCUACACACGUGCUACAAUGGCCGGUACAAAGGGCAGCUACCUGGUGACAGGAUGCUAAUCUCAAAAGCCGGUCUCAGUUCGGAUCGGAGUCUGCAACCCGACUCCGUGAAGUCGGAAUCGCUAGUAAUCGUGAAUCAGAAUGUCACGGUGAAUACGUUCCCGGGCCUU